GUGCUAUCUUCAGCAGCACAUAUACUAAAAUUGGAAUAAUACAGAGAAGAUUAGCAGGGCCUCUGUGAAAGGAUGGCAUGCAAAUUUGUGAUGCGUUCUCUACUUUU